GAUGAACGCUGGCGGCGUGCUUAACACAUGCAAGUCGAACGAUGAAGCCCAGCUUGCUGGGUGGAUUAGUGGCGAACGGGUGAGUAACACGUGAGUAACCUGCCCUUAACUCUGGGAUAAGCCUGGGAAACUGGGUCUAAUACCGGAUAGGAGCGUCCACCGCAUGGUGGGUGUUGGAAAGAUUUAUCGGUUUUGGAUGGACUCGCGGCCUAUCAGCUUGUUGGUGAGGUAAUGGCUCACCAAGGCGACGACGGGUAGCCGGCCUGAGAGGGGGACCGGCCACACUGGGACGGAGACACGGCCCAGACUCCUACGGGAGGCAGCAGUGGGGAAUAUUGCACAAUGGGCGAAAGCCUGAUGCAGCGACGCCGCGUGAGGGAUGACGGCCUUCGGGUUGUAAACCUCUUUCAGUAGGGAAGAAGCGAAAGUGACGGUACCUGCAGAAGAAGCACCGGCUAACUACGUGCCAGCCGCCGCGGUAA
rnacentral:rRNA from 1 species